UAACUUUGCCGAACGGCCGCGCGGUAUGUUGCCGAAAGGUAUUACCGUGAGGAAAGUCCGGGCUUCACAGAGCGCGAUAGCUGAUAACGUCAGCCAGGGGUAACCCUCGGAAAAGUGCAACAGAAAUAAACCGCCUAAACUACAGUGAAUAGUGUGGAAGACGCGCUUUUCACUUAUCUCCGUAUUUAGUACGGUGGGGAGGAUGCAGUAGAACAAGCAUAUAAAAUUUGAAUUUUUCGAGAAUUAUAUUCAUUUGUGCUUGUUCUUCCUCAUUAUUCAAUGUAGUUUAGGUAAGGAUGGAAAGGCGAGGUAAGAGCUCACCCACUCCUAUGGUAACAUAGGUUUGCUGUAAACUCUAUCGGAAGCAACACCGUAGUCGGAUUGCCUGCUCGGCAUAUAUCCGCGGGUGGCGCGAGGAGAGAUCCUCGGAGCUGAGUGGUGACAUUCAGCAAAGAUAGAUGGCCGUUUAAGACAGAACCCGGCUUAUAGACAAAGUUAUUAU
rnacentral:RNase_P_RNA from 1 species